GAUGAACGCUGGCGGCGUGCCUAAUACAUGCAAGUCGAGCGAAUGGAUUAAGAGCUUGCUCUUAUGAAGUUAGCGGCGGACGGGUGAGUAACACGUGGGUAACCUGCCCAUAAGACUGGGAUAACUCCGGGAAACCGGGGCUAAUACCGGAUAACAUUUUGAACCGCAUGGUUCGAAAUUGAAAGGCGGCUUCGGCUGUCACUUAUGGAUGGACCCGCGUCGCAUUAGCUAGUUGGUGAGGUAACGGCUCACCAAGGCAACGAUGCGUAGCCGAGCGGAGAGGGUGAUCGGCCAAACUGGGACUGAGACACGGCCCAGACUCAUACGGGAGGCAGCAGUAGGGAAUCUUCCGAAAUGGACGAAAGUCUGACGGAGCAACGCCGCGUGAGUGAUGAAGGCUUUCGGGUCGUAAAACUCUGUUAUUAGGGAAGAACAAGUGCUAGUUGAAUAAGCUGGCACCUUGACGGUACCUAACCAGAAAGCCACGGCUAACUACGUGCCAGCCGCCGCGGUAA
rnacentral:rRNA from 1 species